rnacentral:rRNA from 1 species
UACGUAGGGACCAAGCGUUGUUCGGAUUUACUGGGCGUAAAGGGUGCGUAGGUGGUUGGGUAAGUUUGAUGUGAAAUCUCCGGGCUUAACCCGGAAAUGGCAUUGAAUACUAUUCGGCUAGAGGUUUGGAGGGGGGACUGGAAUUCUUGGUGUAGCAGUGAAAUGCGUAGAUAUCAAGAGGAACACCAGUGGCGAAGGCGAGUCCCUGGACAACACCUGACACUGAGGCACGAAAGCUAGGGGAGCAAACAGG